AUGAGCUGCUCCUUAAAGCCUGAAUAGGAGUUCCCAGGCAGUGGUGGAAAGACACUCUCAACAUCACCUGAUCAUGAACAACUGAUGGAAGCCCCUUCUUUAGCAAAAUGCCAUGCACGUGGUCGAUACUCAAUGAGGAUUUAAUGAGCUUGCCAUCUGGACAAAGUAAAGCUACAUAAAGCAGAAGUUAGAAGAUAGUUUUAAAGGAAAAAUGCAAAUGAAAUGGUCAAGGCUGAAAAAUUGUUCUCAAAACGUUUCCAAAAUAGCCCUUACUAUCUUGAGACGGAAUGCAGCUCACCUUUGAUCUCAUGUCAAAACAACACAGAAUAACACCAUGAACUUUUUCCAUCUAUCACUCUCAAGAUCAAGGAACCCGGCAUUUGUGUUUUAGUCGAGCGAGAGGCAGUCAAAGAGAGACACCAAAGUAUAUUGGAACACCUGAGAUUUAUGGAUGAGCCAAACCAGCACAGCUGACCUGGAAAGGGAAGCGGGUCCACGCUGCACCUGGGUUCUUUCCUGAAUGAUGGAGUUGACAGCGAUGCAUCUGGAUGGAUGAAGAGCCAGGCCUGAAGCUUGGUGGGAAUUGCUCUCCUUCAUCCUCCAUCCCCUGGACUGGGAUUUCUUUCUCUUACAAAUGGAACCGAAUGCUCUACCCUUUUGUCUAAAAAAAGAUUAAUUUUUUUGAUGGCAUAAAUAAGGACUAAAAUUUCACUUACUAAUCAAAAUGCC
rnacentral:lncRNA from 1 species